CAGGUGGCUCUCAUGGGCUGCUGAUUGCCUUUGCUUUAUUCAGAUUGCUGGAUACUGAAUAUACCCUGAAUCAACAGUGUCAUCUGUAAAGCUCCAGGCAAUCUGGGAAUGGACAAGCAACACAAACUCCUCCACACUUGCAUUCUGAAACGUCAGUGGCAGCAACGAGGUUUCUAGGAAUGCUCCUGAAAUCACAGUCGUUUCAUGCAAGGAACCAACAGGAAUUAAUGGCAGAACUUGGACUUUAAUGCUGUCACAUGUACCCUCCCUACAGUCCACUGAUGAGGGGUGGCAAAUAUAGGAUAGACUCCUUCAAACAACACGUGGGCCCUCCAGUGGUGCUCACCAUGUCUCUGCGCCAAAGAAGGUAGGAAAACAGUGGUCCAAGAAGUAAUGUGAAGGAAGCAAAGCUAGGCUGGUGCUUUAUAGAGUCCCCAGCAAGUUACUCAGGAAGUGUCACCAUAAAGAGAGCUCUCUUGCUGCCCCAACACGAGUUGAUGGAGCUCGUGCUCUUGGCUAACAGAGCUCUCUACCCAUUAUACAAGAUAGUAGGGACCUGGCGUGGACCUCUAGGGUGCUGAUGUAGCAGAAAAUGAGCAGAAGAAACAAAGGGCUGAGACCAACAUUGCUGCUAUAAAGAUGCAAUAUUGUCCUAUUAUGGGACAGAGCUAGGUAUAUAAUACAGUGACCAAGAUUUGCUGCCUCUGCUUCCAGGAAAACAAGCUCUAACUUUAAGGCAAUGGGAAGAAAAAGAUGUUUUAGACUGCUGUGGCUUACGUCCUUCCACACCUCUGCUCCCCAUCUAUAUCCUUGGGGGGGGACACAUGACAGGCUUCAGUCUGUUUGCACCUCUUUUACUUUCUUCUGUUGUCCUGCUGAGUGAGCAAGGACAGGGGGAGCACAGAAACGAAGCCAUGGGUUUAAGUCAGGACUGAAAUCUUAUUUGAAAGGAUUUGCUCGCCGUUUCAUUUUUUGUUCAAUGUAUUUUUAUUAACAAGUCUAUUCAAUCAGAACUGCAACUCGCUGCCUCCUGCGCCUGGAAGGAUCUGUUCUCAAUGUAAUUUGUCAGCUGGAUUCCUUCCCAGUCAUGCUGCUGGUUUUCCUCAGCUCAUUCUGAAUCCCCCUUUUCUCAUCAAAAGCAGAUACUUCCUAUUGUGGGGCACAGGGACACCAAUCAUCAUUUCUGUCCCAGGCACACACAGACAUACAUAUAUAUGUAUACACACGUCCCCCUCUUCUUUCUUUCUUUUCUUUCUUCUGGUCUCAGCUUUUAAUUGAGUUUACAGUUACUCCCUGACAACGUAAGACAUGAAAUUACAAUCCCAUCAUCUACUUCACAGCAACCGGUUGGGAAUGUUGUCUACAUGGGCAGUUCCCAGCUAUUACGGGUGUAGCAACAAUGGCAGCAGGAGGAUGCAAUGGUAGCUUUUGUUUUAUCCCCCAAGAUGUGAGGACUGAGGGAGUUUCUGCCCCUAGAUAUGUAGAGGGGAGACCACCCUGUGGAGCACCCAUCUUUGUAAGAGGAAAUGGGAGCUGAUCUGAAAGACAGAGCUUUUAGCAGGAGUGAUGUAUUGAAACUGCUGUUUGGAGCUACAGGAUAAGGGGGAAAAGCCCAAGCAACGUAAUGACUGCUGCUCUUUGCUGUGCAAUAGGAAGGUUGUUAGGAGGAGGGCAGUAUAAAACCAUGUCUAGUAUAGAUGCCCAAAGCCUUGUUAUCCUGUGCUUAUCCAUCAUUCCUAGGGUCCUGUUUAAGCAGCAGCAAGACAUAUGGCACCCCUGUCACCAUGCUGAUGGCAACAUAAAUAUAGUCCUGAAGAUACAUAGAGGAGACUAGUGCCUUGCUGAUUUUAUUUCCAACAUCCAGCCCUUGAAGCCUCCACUGUUUCCUGGGUUUAGGGGUUUUGUGAUGACUGCAGACAGGGGAGCUUUAAGAACUGGCAGUUUU